UAACGCGUGGAUAACCUGCCGUAUACAGGGGGAUAACACUUAGAAAUAGGUGCUAAUACCGCAUAAGCGCACAGCUUUGCAUGAAGCAGUGUGAAAAGCAAAAAGUUAAAACUUUUAGCGGUAUACGAUGGAUCCGCGUCUGAUUAGCCAGUUGGCGGGGUAACGGCCCACCAAAGCGACGAUCAGUAGCCGGCCUGAGAGGGCGGACGGCCACAUUGGGACUGAGACACGGCCCAGACUCCUACGGAAGGCAGCAG
rnacentral:rRNA from 1 species